rnacentral:rRNA from 1 species
UGGGGAAUAUUGGACAAUGGGCGCAAGCCUGAUCCAGCAAUGCCGCGUGAGUGAUGAAGGCCUUAGGGUUGUAAAGCUCUUUCGCACGCGACGAUGAUGACGGUAGCGUGAGAAGAAGCCCCGGCUAACUUCGUGCCAGCAGCCGCGGUAAUACGAAGGGGGCUAGCGUUGUUCGGAAUUACUGGGCGUAAAGGGCGCGUAGGCGGCCUGUUUAGUCAGAAGUGAAGCCCCGGGCUCACCUGGGAAUAGCUUUUGAUACUGGCAGGCUUGAGUUCCGGAGAGGAUGGUGGAUUCCCAGUGUAGAGGUGAAUUCGUAGAUAUUGGGAGAACACCGGUGGCGAAGGCGGCCAUCUGGACGGACACUGACGCUGAGGCGCG